GGCAGGGUGGCAUAGUGGUUAGCACUUGCAAGAAGGAGGUUCCGGGUUCGAAUCCGGGUCCGGCCG
rnacentral:tRNA from 1 species